GGUUCCUCCACCUUCCCUGAGCUCCCGUAGAUACAGAAGGCGUCCAGGCACCUGGUGGAGCAGCAGGCAUCGGCACUGGUACAGUUAGAGAUUUUGGAUCCGAGCCUCGCUCGGUUCACCAGCUGCACCGACUGAACCCUACCUAUACCAUCUCGGACCAGAUGACGCACAGUGCAACGUUAUGAAAAAGAUACUUUAAAAAAAUAAUAAAAGUCAGCCUUAUAAUCCCA